CUCCUAACUAGCGAUUGAAACUAAAAACUUAAUGGUAACUAAAUGCAAUAAAUGAAACGGCAAAAAAGAAACCUAAUAUCUACCCCGAUCAUUUCAAACGACUGGAUUCCAUUAAAGCUCCGAGUUGUCAUUUAAAUAUUCAAUCCCUUCUGACGAUAGCAGUUUCCAAGGGUUUAAUUUUCUUGCUAUCUUCUUUUGAAAUCAUUUCUCCCAAACAUUUCCUCAGUCUGGGUUUCUUGGCCAUAUUCUCUCCGAUUCUAUUGUGUGGCUAUUCAAUUCUUCUCCUAUCAGAUCCCUAACUUUGUGCAUUCUAAACAUGCAUAUGCUUCUGCUGCAAAUGGAGAGGGAAUGUUGUUAUGAAUAAUCGUCUUUAAAUCCAAAAGUUCUCCCCUCAGACCCCAUACCACCAGACCUGUGGCCGAUUUAUAAUUUCUACUAUCAAACACUGCAUCAAACUAUAUUGUAACCCUCGUUUUCCUUUCAUGCAUGAGCCGAUUCCUGGAAAACCAUAUUAACCAUAAAGCGUAACAGAAGAGUCGGCAUUGAGCUUCAGUGCCUCUUUUGAAUACCCAGGAUAUUGACGAAAAAUAUAGAGGCUAUCUUCUGCCCAAGCAUGACAACGGGGGCACUUAUCAUCUGCAAUGACUCUCCUGUGCUUAAGAUUAACAAGUUUGGGAAUAAAGUCCCAGGAAAUUCUCCAGAUAGUAAUUGAGAUUUUAGAGGAUAGUUGUAAAUUCCACAAUUUCCUGUAAAUUUUUUUAGUUUCGGCAUGUAAUAAAUAAUUACUAGGAUUCGGAAUAGCAUCUUGUAAUAGUUUCUAGGCACUGCGCACUGAAUAUUCGCCAGAUAAUUCCCCUUUCCAAGCUUGAGUAUCUUCAUAAUUGGACUCUGCUAAAGGAAUUUGCAGAAUUUUCUGAGCUGUGUUUGCUGGAAAGAUUGAAAUUUUGUCACCUUUGCCCACUCUCCAGCACAACCCCUUUUGAAGAAGUCCCUUCGCUGGCCAAAUGCUCUUCCAGGUAAAUGAAGGUAAGCUUCCCAACUCUGCAUGUAGGAAACUUGAAUGCGGGUAAUAUUUAGCUUUUAAAACUCUGGCAAUAAAGAAUUUGGGAAAUUAAUAA